rnacentral:sRNA from 1 species
CCCCAUGCAGGGAAGGAUGAGAAGCUUCGACUAAGGUUCGAUUCGAGCGCAGCGAGAAAGCGUUGCCGCAGGCAACGACCCGAAGGGCGUGGAGCAGCGCAAACAAACAUU